rnacentral:rRNA from 1 species
CUUUGCUGCCAUAGCAAGAAGAAAACACAGUUCCUCGUUCAAUCAGAGGCAGUGCCAACCUAGUACUGCGGUGGGAAACCAUGCUGGAAUCGUAGGUGCUGCGAUUC